GAUGAACGCUGGCGGCGUGCCUAAUACAUGCAAGUCGAGCGAACGGACGAGAAGCUUGCUUCUCUGAUGUUAGCGGCGGACGGGUGAGUAACACGUGGAUACCCUACCUAUAAGACUGGGAUAACUUCGGGAAACCGGAGCUAAUACCGGAUAAUAUUUUGAACCGCAUGGUUCAAAAGUGAAAGACGGUCUUGCUGUCACUUAUAGAUGGAUCCGCGCUGCAUUAGCUAGUUGGUAAGGUAACGGCUUACCAAGGCAACGAUGCAUAGCCGACCUGAGAGAGUGAUCGGCCACACUGGAACUGAGACACGGUCCAGACUCCUACGGGAGGCAGCAGUAGGGAAUCUUCCGCAAUAGGCGGAAGCCUGACGGAGCAACGCCGCGUGAGUGGUGGAGGUCUUCGGAGCGUAAAACUCUGUUAUUAGGGAAGAACAUAUGUGGAAGUAACUGUGCACAGCUUGACGGUACCUGAUCAGAAAGCCACGGCUAACUACGUG
rnacentral:rRNA from 1 species